rnacentral:rRNA from 1 species
GAUGAACGCUGGCGGCGUGCCUAAUACAUGCAAGUCGAGCGAACAGAUGAGGAGCUUGCUCCUCUGACGUUAGCGGCGGACGGGUGAGUAACACGUGGAUAACCUACCUAUAAGACUGGGAUAACUUCGGGAAACCGGAGCUAAUAUCGGAUAAUAUAUUGAACCGCAUGGUUCAAUAGUGAAAGACGGUUUUGCUGUCACUUAUAGAUGGAUCCGCGCCGCAUUAGCUAGUUGGUAAGGUAACGGCUUACCAAGGCAACGAAGCGUAGCCGACCUGAGGGGGGGAUCGUCCACACUGGAACUGAGACACGGUCCAGACUCCUACGGGAGGCAGCAGUAGGGAAUCUUCCGCAAUGGGCGAAAGCCUGACGGAGCAACGCCGCGUGAGUGAUGAAGGUCUUCGGAUCGUAAAACUCUGUUAUUAGGGAAGAACAAAUGUGUAAGUAACUAUGCACGUCUUGACGGUACCUAAUCAGAAGGCCACGGCUAACUACGUGCCAGCCGCCGCCGUAA